GAACGCUAGCGGCAGGCUUAAUACAUGCAAGUCAAGGGGGUAGCAAUACAACCGGCGCACGGGUGAGUAACGCGUACACAACAUACCAUAUACUGGAGUAUAGCUUUGGGAAACUGAAGGUAAUCCUCCAUAACAUUGCGAGAGGGCAUCUGAUUGCAAUUAAAGUUUCGGCGGUAUAUGAUUGGUGUGCGUUUGAUUAGCUAGUUGGUAGGGUAACGGCCUACCAAGGCGACGAUCAAUAGCUGGCGUGAGAGCGCGACCAGCCACACUGGAACUGAGACACGGUCCAGACUCCUACGGGAGGCAGCAGUAGGGAAUAUUGGACAAUGGAGGAAACUCUGAUCCAGCCAUGCCGCGUGAUAGAUGAAGGCCCUCUGGGUUGUAAAUAUCUUUUAUCUGGGAAGAAACACUCCUAUUCUUAGGAACUUGACGGUACCAGAGGAAUAAGCACCGGCUAACUCCGUG
rnacentral:rRNA from 1 species